UGAAAAUGGCAUCACUAACAGGGAUUGGAAGCCAGAAAAUGUUUUAUUGUGUUCCUCGUAUGAUGAAACGCUUAUAAAGAUCAGAAUUCCUAUAUGGAAACACUCUGUGGUACACCAAGUUACCUCGCUACCAAAAUGUUAAUCCCGUAGCCUGAAGAACGAUCCUACAAGAAAUCGUGUGACUGCUGGAGCCUGGGAGUUAUACUAUAUGUUUGCAGGCAAAUAACCCAUUGGAGAAACAAGUCAAAGAAGGGUCGUAUAAAUUUCCGAACAACCUCUGGAAGAAUGUUAGCAGUGAAGCUAAGGAUCUUAUAACAAAACUGCUUACUGUUGGUCACAGAAAAUGCAUCACGGUUUCAGAAGCUCUGGAACAUCCUUGGAUGAAGGAUAAAGAAAUGAUAGAAAAAGCAGAAAAAAUGAUAAAACCGACCGUGGAUGGAAGAUCAAUGUCUCCGCCCUUAUAAAAGGUAUGUUGAAAACUACGAUACUUGUCCCGUUCUUCCGUCCAAUGACCCUUAUUUUCAACUCGCAAUUGCAAUGAAACAUUACAUGUUUGCAAGUUACAUCGAAAUUUAACUAGCUUUCCGAAACAAUCUCAA